rnacentral:rRNA from 1 species
AUUGAACGCUGGCGGGAUGCUUUACACAUGCAAGUCGAGCGGCAGCGCGGGGGCAACCCUGGCGGCGAGCGGCGAACGGGUGAGUAACACAUCGGAACGUACCCAGUGGUGGGGGAUAGCCCGGCGAAAGCCGGAUUAAUACCGCAUACGACCUGAGGGGGAAAGUGGGGGACCGCAAGGCCUCACGCCGCUGGAGCGGCCGAUGUUCGAUUAGCUAGUUGGUGGGGUAAAGGCCUACCAAGGCGACGAUCGAUAGCUGGUCUGAGAGGACGACCAGCCACACUGGAACUGAGACACGGUCCAGACUCCUACGGGAGGCAGCAGUGGGGAAUUUUGGACAAUGGGCGAAAGCCUGAUCCAGCCAUGCCGCGUGCGGGAAGAAGGGCCUUCGGGUUGGUUAAAGACGUCUUUUGGUUCGGGUAAGGAAAGUA